ensembl:lncRNA
CCUCGGGGAGCCUGAACGGGGACAGCCCCCCCGGGCCCGACUCCUCCUCCAGCAGCGAGGCCCCGCCCAAGGGCCUGUUCACUCCCCCCUCCCCGGCGCUGUCCCCCGCCAUGUCCGGCUCCUCCCCCUUACCCCGGGAGGAGCGGGGUCUCCCCGGGGCCCGGGGGGGGGGCCCGGACUUCGAGCUGCUGCAGCGGCUGGCGGCGGGCGGGGCUGCGGGCCGCGUGCUGUUCCACCCCCUGGCCCUCGGCCCCCAGGGGCCCCAGAGCCUCUACGCCCCCAGCACCAUCCGCUACGCGCCCCCGGAGCUGCCGCCCUCGCAGCACCACCACCACCGGCCCCCGGGGCCCGGGGACGGCCUGCAGCUCCGCUCGGACCCCCACAGGGCCCCCCCCCCGCCUUCUUCCCCCACCUGCAGAGACUGGCCGGCCUGCCCCCUUUCACGGGCUUCUCCCCCGGGGACCCCUUCGGCCCCGGCCUGCCCUUCUGCAUGAACGGGCUGCGGGGGGCCACCGGCCACGAGGAGGACUGAGGGCCCGGGGCCCCCGGGGGGGCAUGGAGAGGGAGGGGGGAGGGAGGGGGAGGCGGAGGGAGGCAUUGAAGCGGCCGGGGGGAGGAGCGACGGUAGUCUCUCAGGGGCCCUCACCGAUUGGCCGAUGAGUUCCUAACGCGUGCGACCUGUCGUGGCGGCCGGGCCCCGACCAGGGACGCUGACGGAGCGGGGGCCCGCCCCCUGGCUGGUCCCUCAAGACUGUUCCUCUCGCUGGGAACCAGUAAGGAACUGGUCCGCUCGCUGGGAACCAGUAAGGAGCUGGUCCGCUCGCUGGGAACCAGUAAGGAGCUGGUCCGCUCGCUGGGAACCAGUAAGGAACUGGUCCUCUCGCUGGGAACCAGUAAGGAACUGGUCCUCUCGCUGGGAACCAGUAAGGAGCUGGCCGCUGGUCUCCUGUGUGUCUUCCACUCUGAAGCCAUAUUGUGUAUAAAGACAGAACCAUGAAUACCUUCAGCCCCCCGGCCCCAGGUGGACCUCCAGGUCUCCAGGUGGACCUCCAGGUGAACCUCUGGUCUCCAGGUGAACCUCCAGGCUCCAGGUGAACCUCCAGGUGAACCUCUGGUCUCCAGGUGAACCUUUAGGCUCCAGGUGAACCUUUAGGCUCCAGGUGAACCUCCAGGUCUCCAGGUGAACCUCCAGGUGAACCUCUGGUCUCCAGCUGGACCUCCAGGCUCCAGGUGAACCUCCAGGUGAACCUCUGGCCUCCAGGUGACCCUCCAGGUCUCCAGGUGGACCUCUGGUCUCCAGGUGAGCCUGCAGGCUCCAGGUGAACCUUGAGACUGUAGGAACCAUUCCAACACUUCUUUGUAUUAUUGCAGUAUUAUAAAGUCAUCUCUAAGGUAAGCAUUAAACGGUAUUUCCCUUAAAAGAGUUAGAGACAACAUGGUUGUUGGGUUUUUUGUACUGUGGGGAAAAAAACAAUAAUUUACUAAAAACCAAGCAGAAGUGUUUGUCAGUUAGUCCUACUUAAAGCACACUAUGGAAGACCGAAUAACGACUAAUGUAGUCCAGACAUUCCUGAUGGGAGGAGAACGCGGAACGUCUCUCGUCUCGUUUGUAUGUAGAAAGAUCUCCUGUUUGAGCCAAGAGCAUUUUAGUAUUCGCUGUAUAUUGCUAAGACGUGUUCGUGUACAAAAGCCAUAUUGUUUUUUUGUUUGUUUGUUUAUUUUUCUCACCAUGAAUGAGAGUGAUAGAGUUUAAAAAGAAGAGAUUUAAAAAAAGAUGUAUCUAGAUGGCAACAUAACAUUAAGACUCUGAAGGCAUCCGGCCAGACUCUUUUGUCAUGUUCCUUAAGCGAUUAUGGGAAAAGUUAUUUAGGAGGGAGAGAACGAGGAUUCUUCUGAUCAUGUUUUAUCUUCUUUGUCUGAGCAGCACUUUGUUUUGGUACGAACUCAGAGCACUUCAGCGUUACUUUUUCUGUGUGUUGAACACAACGUCAUCCUCGCUCCCCAUUCGACCGCCGCGCCGCCCAGUCAAUGGUCGUUAAAAUGAGGGUGUGGCCCGCGGGCAUAAUGGUGAAUUCACACGCCACGCACACGUGGUCGCCACGGAGACCGCGAGGGCCCGAUAAACACAAACCCGGGCUUUCUCCUGGCCGAUAGCGGGUUCACCCCCGGAGAAAAGGAGGCUGCUGACAUCUGGAAUCAAACAUCAACACCUUUACGUCGCUAUUGUCUAGUUUGGAAUCAGGUUGAUGAAGAAAAAAACAUUGAAAAAAACAAGCACUAUACAAAGUAUAUGAUCAUAAUGUCAGUACAAAUGUAAUGUUUUUCAUUUCCAGGUAAAAUUAUUGAACUCCAUUUUAUGCAGAAAUAAUUACGCCAUCACUUUGUGGUUAUCCAGAUGAAGAAAAAUAAAAGUGUUUUAUUCCAAAUAGAGUGAAUUAAAAGGCGUGAUAUUUCUCACGACACAAUUGACCUUGUUAAAGUGAUCCUGAUACCGGAGGAAAAUAUUAAAGCAAUUUCCACAAGAUUGUCUUUGGCUGAAUAAAUGGGAAAUCCGGUGAUGCUGUGUACAUCUUUAUUACUGCCAAUCAAACAGGAUUAUUUGGCAUCUGCCUUUUUUGGAAUGAAACACAUUUAUGAUUGGAAUAGAAUUUGAAGGAACUAUCUUAGAACAUGCAAUGUAACAUAUGUUUCUGACGCUUUCCCAUGAGGAUUUAUGUAUCGGGGAAAUAUCUGAUGUUGACUCGUAAUGCCGGAAUCGAAUGUGCACUAUACAACCAUCCUAUAGCUGUUGUAUAUAAGGGUGUGCGAGAGAGAGAGAGAGAGAGAGAGAGAGAGAGAGAGAGAGAGAGAGAGAGAGAGAGAGAGAGAGAGAGUGUGUGUGUGUGUGUGUGUGUGUGUGUGUGUGUGUGUGUGUGGGUGUGUGUGUGUGUGUUCAGAUAGCCCCCCCCCCCCAUAUGCCCAUCACUGUGAAUCUAACCUCAUCCUUCCAUCUCUGUGAAUAUUUCAUCAAUUUCAGAUCUUGAAAUAAAAAUGAACCAAUGUAAAAAAAGAGCUGUGAUCCAGACGAUAAUAACAAUAAAAUAUCCUGUAGAAG